rnacentral:lncRNA from 1 species
AUGCGGGCGGCCCCGCGCCGCUGCCUCUGCCAGCCCCACGCGGCGCCUGGUGCCCGGGGGGGGGGUCAGGCCACCGGGCUGGAGUCACACCAAGCAUCCCAUCACAGACCCAGCUCAUGUAAGGGUGAAUUCCAAUCCCUUUGUAUUUAUGGGAGGAGGAGAUUCGUCUCUUCUCCCGGAGCCGCUGCCGGAGUCCCAGUGGCGUUUCCGCGGCACCAAGGGGUGCCCGAUCCCGUCCCCGUGGCGUUUAACGGGGCGGGUGGCCAUGCGAGACCCCAGCCCCACACGCGAGCCAGCGACAUCCCUGGCGACAUCCCCGCGGCCUGGCAGCCUCUCGCCGCCUCGCAGCCGCCCUUCCUCUCCAUGCAGCCAGCAGCGACGCCCGCGGAGCCGCGGCAGUUUCUAUGCCGACACGGCUGGAGCGCUGCCGGCCGGGAAUGCGCGGGGGGCUGGCGGCUGCGGACCCCGCUAAGGCGAACGUUUCCUGAAGCACCCGUGGAAACCACGGCGAGGGGAAAACCGGAGCAGCCGCUGCUCCACGGGCCUUGCUCCUGCCUUUGCUCUGGCUGCUCGUUGACAUCGGUGAGCGCAGGGAGGCGGCUGGGGGUCUGCGCCCACCCUGCGCAGCCCCAGGUCUGCGCCCCUGGGGCAGGGGGUGACCUGCAGCAGUGCCCGGGGGGCCCCUGGCCACGGCUCUGUGCUCCCACCCUGCUGCUAACACAUCUCCUUCAUCCUCCACCCUCCUUGGCAGAGACCAAGUCGGGAACAGGCGGUUUUGGGGAGGGUUGCGGGGCAUUUCUGUUUUCCUGCUCCCCUUCGUCAUGCCUCACCCCACGAAGUCUCCCUGCAGCCCGAUGCUCCCUGUGCCCAGCUCACACAAGGAUGGCACGGGGGGGCACGGUGCUCGGAGGCAGCGCUGGCAGCGGCCGGGUCUGCAGGGGCAGCGUGGCAGCCUCGGCCCCUCAGCGUGCUGAGGACCGUGGGCACAGCCGCUGGCUCCUUCCUUCUCCCCAGUCACCUUUUUUAAGUGGCCGGGUGUCACGCUGUGUCCCCAGCUGGAAGAUGGAAGAGCCUUUGGCAGAGAACAAGCCUGGGUUUUGA